GACGAACGCUGGCGGCGUGCUUAACACAUGCAAGUCGAACGGAAAGGCCCUGCUUUUGUGGGGUGCUCGAGUAGCGAACGGGUGAGUAACACGUGAGUAACCUGCCCUUGACUUUGGGAUAACUUCAGGAAACUGGGGCUAAUACCGUAUAGGAGCUCCUGCAGCAUGGAAGGGGUUGGAAAGUUUCGGCGGUUGGGGAUGGACUCGCGGCUUAUCAGCUUGUUGGUGGGGUAGUGGCUUACCAAGGCUUUGACGGGUAGCCGGCCUGAGAGGGUGACCGGCCACAAUGGGACUGAGAUACGGCCCAGACUCCUACGGGAGGCAGCAGUGGGGAAUAUUGCACAAUGGGAGGAAGCCUGAUGAAGCAACGCCGCGUGCGGGAUGACGGCCUUCGGGUUGUGAACCGCUUCCGCCUGUGACGAAGCGUGAGUGACGGUAAUGGGUGAAGAAGCACCGGCUAACUACGUG
rnacentral:rRNA from 1 species